GAUGAACGCUGGCGGCGUGCCUAAUACAUGCAAGUCGAGCGAACAGACGAGGAGCUUGCUCCUCUGACGUUAGCGGCGGACGGGUGAGUAACACGUGGAUAACCUACCUAUAAGACUGGGAUAACUUCGGGAAACCGGAGCUAAUACCGGAUAACAUGUUGAACCGCAUGGUUCAACAGUGAAAGACGGUCUUGCUGUCACUUAUAGAUGGAUCCGCGCCGCAUUAGCUAGUUGGUAAGGUAACGGCUUACCAAGGCAACGAUGCGUAGCCGACCUGAGAGGGUGAUCGGCCACACUGGAACGGAGACACGGUCCAGACUCCUACGGGAGGCAGCAGUAGGGAAUCUUCCGCAAUGGGCGAAAGCCUGACGGAGCAACGCCGCGUGAGUGAUGAAGGUCUUCGGAUCGUAAAACUCUGUUAUUAGGGAAGAACAAAUGUGUAAGUAACUAUGCACGUCUUGACGGUACCUAAUCAGAAAGCCACGGCUAACUACGUG
rnacentral:rRNA from 1 species